rnacentral:rRNA from 1 species
GCGAGCGGCGGACGGGUGAGUAACACGUGGGUAACCUGCCCAAGAGACUGGGAUAACACCUGGAAACAGAUGCUAAUACCGGAUAACAACACUAGACGCAUGUCUAGAGUUUGAAAGAUGGUUCUGCUAUCACUCUUGGAUGGACCUGCGGUGCAUUAGCUAGUUGGUAAGGUAACGGCUUACCAAGGCAAUGAUGCAUAGCCGAGUUGAGAGACUGAUCGGCCACAUUGGGACUGAGACACGGCCCAAACUCCUACGGGAGGCAGCAGUAGGGAAUCUUCCACAAUGGACGAAAGUCUGAUGGAGCAACGCCGCGUGAGUGAAGAAGGGUUUCGGCUCGUAAAGCUCUGUUGGUAGUGAAGAAAGAUAGAGGUAGUAACUGGCCUUUAUUUGACGGUAAUUACUUACAAAGUCACGGCUAACUACGUGCCAGCAGCCGCGGUAAUACGUAGGUGGCAAGCGUUGUCCGGAUUUAUUGGGCGUAAAGCGAGUGCAGGCGGUUCAAUAAGUCUGAUGUGAAAGCCUUCGGCUCAACCGGAGAAUUGCAUCAGAAACUGUUGAACUUGAUUGCAGAA